UCCGUAGGUGAACCUGCGGAAGAUCAUUACUGAGUGAGGGCCCCUCGGGGUCCAACCUCCCACCCGUGUUUAACGAACCUUGUUGCUUUGGCGGGCCCGCCUCACGGCCGCCGGGGGGCAUCUGCCCCCGGGCCGCGCCGCCGAAGCCACCUGUGAACUCUGUCUGAAGUAUGCAGUCUGAGACAAUUAUUAAAUAAUGAAAACUUUCAUCAACGGAUCUCUUGGUUCCUGCAUCGAUGAAGAACGCAGCGAAAUGCGAUAACUAGUGUGAAUUGCAUAAUUCAGUGAAUCAUCGAGUCUAUGAACGCACAUUGCGCACUCUGGUAGGCCUGACGGUAUGCCUGUACUAGCGUCAUAGCUGCCCUCCAGCUCGGCUGGUCUGUUGGGCCCCGCCCCCCUGGCCAGGGGGGCCGGCCCGAGUGCAGCCGCGCACGUCAUCCAGUCUUGAGCGUAUGCGCGUGUAUCCGCACUGUCGGCGCCACGCAUCUACCCCUCAUCUGUGUUCCCGUGAUCUCGUAUCGAGUACGGAUUACCCGCAAGAGAAAUUAAGCAUAUCAAUAAGCGGAGGA
rnacentral:rRNA from 1 species